rnacentral:rRNA from 1 species
UACGUAGGAGGCAAGCGUUAUCCGGAAUGAUUGGGCGUAAAGCGUCCGCAGGUGGCAGUUCAAGUCUGCUGUCAAAGACCGGGGCUUAACUUCGGAAAGGCAGUGGAAACUGAACAGCUAGAGUAUGGUAGGGGCAGAGGGAAUUCCUGGUGUAGCGGUGAAAUGCGUAGAGAUCAGGAAGAACAUCGGUGGCGAAGGCGCUCUGCUGGACCAUAACUGACACUCAGGGACGAAAGCUAGGGGAGCGAAUGGG